rnacentral:rRNA from 1 species
AUUGAACGCUGGCGGCAGGCCUAACACAUGCAAGUCGAGCGUGAAAGGGCUUCGGCCUGAGUAAAGCGGCGGACGGGUGAGUAACGCGUAGGAAUCUACCUGGUAGUGGGGGAUAACGUUCCGAAAGGGACGCUAAUACCGCAUACGUUCCGAGGAAGAAAGCGGGGGAUCGCAAGACCUCGCGCUAUCAGAUGAGCCUGCGUCCGAUUAGCUAGUUGGUGGGGUAAAGGCCUACCAAGGCGACGAUCGGUAACUGGUCUGAGAGGAUGAUCAGUCACACUGGAACUGAGACACGGUCCAGACUCCUACGGGAGGCAGCAGUGGGGAAUAUUGGAC